rnacentral:misc_RNA from 1 species
GGAAUAAAGGCUCCUGAGAAAAAGGUAACAUUGUUAAGCUAUCUUCAAGCUCAAUGAACUUCUCUUGUUUUUGCUAUUUUUUUUUUCUCUUAUAUAAUCUUCAAUAUUUUGGAUGUUACUGUUACCAAGUGUCCAAGUCCUUAUUGGCAACAUUCUUUUACUCUCUCGAAUAUAUACCUUAAAUGAAAUUUGGAGCUUAUUUGUAUUUGAGUAAUCAUAAAGUAAUGCUAUAAAGGGUCAACACCCUCCUGGGUACUGCAAUCUGAGUUGUGCAUCCCAAUUCGUGGGAUGUUUACAUCCCAAAUUGUUGGGGGCACACGAUCUGGGUAGCCAAUAUAGGAGUUCCAUUGAAAAAGGAAGAAAGGAAGGAGUAGAAAUAGAAGAAGAAAGGAAGAAGUCGAAAGAGAAGAAAGACAUGCGGAGGAGAAGAAAAGCGACACAGGGAAGAAGCAGCAACCAACUCUUUUGGUUGGGAGACAUGAUUUGUUUCUUUUUUACUAUUUUAGUGGGUUAGGUGGGACCUUGGUCUCGGUAAUAUACAAUAAAUGCUGGUAAGAGUAAUUUAUUGCUAGAUAUGUGAGUUAUAGAAAAUAUAAAUAUUAUUAAUUAUAUUUUUAAAUUAUUUAAAAUUUUAUUAUUUU